UACGGAGGAUGCAAGCGUUAUCCGGAAUUAUUGGGCGUAAAGCGUCCGCAGGUGGUUCAUCAAGUCUGCUGUCAAAGCGCGAGGCUUAACUUCGUAAAGGCAGUGGAAACUGGUAAUCUUGAGUGCAGGAGAGGAGAGUGGAAUUCCUGGUGUAGCGGUGAAAUGCGCAGAUAUCAGGAGGAACACCGGUGGCGAAGGCGGCAUCCUGGACCGACACUGACACUGAGGAGCGAAAGCCAGGGGAGCAAACGGG
rnacentral:rRNA from 1 species